rnacentral:rRNA from 1 species
ACGCUCGACACCUACGGGAGGCAGCAGUGGGGAAUAUUGCACAAUGGGGGAAACCCUGAUGCAGCGACGCCGCGUGAGUGAAGAAGUAAUUCGUUAUGUAAAGCUCUAUCAGCAGGGAAGAAAGUGACGGUACCUGAGUAAGAAGCCCCGGCUAACUACGUGCCAGCAGCCACGGUAAUCUGAGCGGGCUGGCAAGGC